CGAACGCUGGCGGCGUGCUUAACACAUGCAAGUCGAACGGUGAAGCGGAGCUUGCUCCGCGGAUCAGUGGCGAACGGGUGAGUAACACGUGAGCAACCUACCCUUGACUCUGGGAUAACAGUUGGAAACAGCUGCUAAUACCGGAUACGACCCCGGCAGACAUCUGCUGGGGUGGAAAGCUCCGACGGUCAAGGAUGGGCUCGCGGCCUAUCAGCUUGUUGGUGAGGUAACGGCUCACCAAGGCGUCGACGGGUAGCCGGCCUGAGAGGGCGACCGGCCACACUGGGACUGAGAUACGGCCCAGACUCCUACGGGAGGCAGCAGUGGGGAAUAUUGCGCAAUGGGCGAAAGCCUGACGCAGCAACGCCGCGUGCGGGAUGACGGCCUUCGGGUUGUAAACCGCUUUCACCCAUGACGAAGGUUUUCUGACGGUAGUGGGAGAAGAAGCACCGGCUAACUACGUGCCAGCAGCCGCGGUGAUACGUAGGGUGCGAGCGUUGUCCGGAAUUAUUGGGCGUAAAGAGCUUGUAGGCGGUCCGUUGCGUCGGAAGUGAAAACUCAGGGCUUAACCCUGAGCCUGCUUUCGAUACGGGCGGACUUGAGGGAUGCAGGGGAGAACGGAAUUCCUGGUGGAGCGGUGGAAUGCGCAGAUAUCAGGAGGAACACCAGUGGCGAAGGCGGUUCUCUGGACAUUUCCUGACGCUGAGAAGCGAAAGCGUGGGGAGCAAAC
rnacentral:rRNA from 1 species